UCUCAUCUUCAUCUUCAACCCCAAUUUUCAAUUUUUGUUCUUCCACCUCCGUUUUUGUUCAACCUCAUCAUUCUAAGCUUCGUCGGAGGGCUCUCCUGGGCCACCGACAAUGAUGCGCUGUUGAGGGCCUUUUCUCCGUUGAUCAUCAACGAUUGCGAGACCGGGAGGUCCAGGGGCUUCAGCUUCAGCUUCGGCUUCGUCACCUUCAGCAACGAGAAGGCCAUGAGGGACGCGAUCGAAGGCAUGAACGACUAGAACUUCGACGACUGUAACAUCACCGUCAACGAGGCCCAGUCUUGUGGAAGCGGCAGUGGUAGUAACAGAGGUUACAGCCACGGAGAAAAUUCAUGCAUUGUUGUCUCUCAUCUGGAGUUGUUGUUCAGUUUAAUCCCUGCAGGAGCUUGUAUCCAAGUGUGUGAGGCUGGCUCACUUGUUUCAUGUUUGAUGUAGUAACAUUAGUCAUUUUGAUUUGGCUGUAAGAUUUAGCUAUAAGGAAUUGCUUUUUGCGUUUUGAAAUCAAACCAAUUCCUCAUUUGAAACAAUAAGUUUCUAGAAUCUGUUAUACACAUGAACUUAUUUGAUGACUGCAAAGACCUAUAUUAAUUUCUUGGAUGAUCAAAUUGGCUAUUUUUGGUAUGAAAUGCUUGCUAAAUAUGCAUCUCUAACCCCGAGUGUAGCACCAUGCGCUGUGACUUAACCCACAAAGCUUACUAUUGAAUGAAAAACAAGAUAUCCUCUUUUUAUUUUCCUCUAUUGAUCUACUAUAUGGAGUUUCUUUGCUUUUUCUGCCCUGUUGAAUUAUGAAUAUGGAUUUCUUAGUUCAAUUUAGAAAAUCUAUGUUAUUCUCUUAUUGGUUCAGCAUAUAUCUAUUGAAAUUUUGACGCGGGGAGUGAAUGGUUUCAUAUUAUCCCUGUAGUUUGUAGUGAAAUGACAUACUAUUCAAAUUCUGUAUACUAUUUCACCUUAUCAGUUAUGUGCC